rnacentral:misc_RNA from 1 species
CCGAGUCACGCACUCAAAUAACCCUUCUGUGGAUCUGAAUCAAACCGUUGCCUCGGCGGGCGGUCCCCUGCCAAAACCCACGUGGUGUGGGCAUGGGACCAGACAGUUCGGCACGCUUAAGGCGUCCGGCGCCAGCCGCUGGCCCUAAACAAUUAAACUCUAGUAACUUUACCUUCUGAGUUUUAAUGCAAAAUAAGUCA